AGGCUUACCUGGCAGGGGAAACACCCUGAUCAUGAAGUGGUCUUCCCAGGGUGGGGCUCAUCCAUUGGACCAUGGAUGUGCUGACCCCUGAGAUAUCCCCAAUGAGGAGAAACUCUACUGCUUAAUUUGUGGUACUAGGGGACUGCAUUGACAAUUUCCAC
ensembl:snRNA U1 U1 spliceosomal RNA